rnacentral:lncRNA from 1 species
GAGCUCAGAUUGAGAAUUAGAUCGUUCCAUGAAAUUUGAAUUUGAACCAUCCAGACGCAAUUUUGAGGGUGUUGGGGAGAAUAUGAAGGUUGUAAUAUAUCAAAGGAUUUGUUAGACAUCAAUGAAAUGGUUUUAGAAGGUGAUCCAUUAUAAUUGGAUUUAAUGGAUUGCCUGAUAAUAUUUGAGCAGUCAGACUGGAUAGAAAGAUCUAGAUUACUAAACAAGUCAAAACUAGGAGGGAUAAUAGGUGACACAUGAUUCAGUUGAAUCAUAGUUUAUUGAUUGUACACUGAAUCAUUAUUUACCGAAGAUGCAUGG